GUGGGGAAUCUUGCGCAAUGGGCGAAAGCCUGACGCAGCCAUGCCGCGUGAAUGGUGAAGGUCUUAGGAUUGUAAAAUUCUUUCACCGGGGACGAUAAUGACGGUACCCGGAGAAGAAGCUCCGGCUAACUUCGUGCCAGCAGCCGCGGUAAUACGAAGGGGGCUAGCGUUGCUCGGAAUUACUGGGCGUAAAGGGCGCGUAGGCGGACAGCUUAGUCAGAGGUGAAAGCCCAGGGCUCAACCUUGGAAUUGCCUUUGAUACUGGCUGUCUUGAGUUUGGGAGAGGUGAGUGGAACUCCGAGUGUAGAGGUGAAAUUCGUAGAUAUUCGGAAGAACACCAGUGGCGAAGGCGACUCACUGGCCCAAUACUGACGCUGAGGCGCGAAAGCGUGGGGAGCAAACAGGAUUAGAAACCCUGGUAGUCC
rnacentral:rRNA from 1 species